rnacentral:rRNA from 1 species
GAUGAACGCUGGCGGCGUGCUUAACACAUGCAAGUCGAACGAAGCACUUUAUUUGAUUUCCUUCGGGACUGAUUAUUUUGUGACUGAGUGGCGGACGGGUGAGUAACGCGUGGGUAACCUGCCUUGUACAGGGGGAUAACAGUUGGAAACGGCUGCUAAUACCGCAUAAGCGCACGGCAUCGCAUGAUGCAGUGUGAAAAACUCCGGUGGUAUAAGAUGGACCCGCGUUGGAUUAGCUAGUUGGGGAGGUAACGGCCCACCAAGGCGACGAUCCAUAGCCGACCUGAGAGGGUGAGCGGCCACAUUGGGACUGAGACACGGCCCGAACUCCUACGGGAGGCAGCAGUGGGGAAUAUUGCACAAUGGGCGAAAGCCUGAUGCAGCGAGGCCGCGUGAGCGAAGAAGUAUUUCGGUAUGUAAAGCUCUAGCAGCAGGGAAGAUAAUGACGGUACCUAACGAAGAAGCACCGGCUAAAUACGUG